GUUCUGGUAAAUUACUUGAGGAUCUUUCCAGAGAAAAAAAUCAGUUUAACCCUCUAUUUGGUUUCUUGAAUGGAGGAAAAGGUCAUGAAUAUUACGCAAGGAAACUUUGGGAGGAGAGACAUAAACGUAAUGAUCAAGGAAAACAACACUGGGAUGCAAAAAUGUCUCAGAAAGUUCAGAAGAUGACAGCAGAAAGCCGUGGCCAGAUAUUAGGGGAGAAGCCUAUUGAAAGAAGCUUGAGAGCUGCAAAUUCCACUGGUAUAUCUGCUGAUGCAAUCAAUUUAACGUCCAAUCUUUCAGAUACAUUCACCAAACCUGUGUCAAUUAAUGAUCUUCUUGAAUCUGCAAAACCUUUUCAAGAUGAUCCUGCUAAGCAGGAAAGGUUCGAGCAGUUUCUGAAGGAGAAGUAUCAUGGUGGUCUUCGCCCUAAAGAUGGUAGUGGAGCAAGUAAUAUGUCUGAAGCUGCCCGUGCUCGCGAAAGAUUAGAAUUUGAGUCUGUAGCUGAAACAAUAAAUAAAGGAAACCAUGGAAAAGAAAGUGUUCCACCUAGUGAGUUGUUCUCAAGUACGUUAGCUACUGCAGGAUUGCAAUUCACUUCUGGAGGAGCAGAGCUAGCUAAAUUUGGUCAAGAUGAUGGCUUAGCGUCAACAAGUAUGUACCCAAAACGGGAGGAGUUUCAGUGGAGACCUUCAUCUAUUCUGUGCAAGCGCUUUGAUCUUAUUGACCCUUAUAUGGGCAAGCCACCCCCAGCUCCACGCGCGAGGAGCAAAUUGGACUCACUUAUAUAUUUGCCGGAGACUGUCAAAGCUCCAAAGCUUGAAGAUGAUGUAUCUGGGGGUAGGAGCCAAUUCUCUCUCCAGGAAGGCCGUAUAGAAAAAGGAAAAGAAAUAGCUGACCAGGAAAUUGAGGUUGAUGCAGAACCUGAAAAUAUUGAAAGACCUGUUGAUUUGUACAAGGCUAUUUUCUCUGAUGAUUCGGAUGAUGAAGCGGAAACUAGCAAUCAGGAUGUCACAGAGGAUUCACAAAAGAAGGUUGAAGCUGUUAAUACAACUUUAAAUCGAUUAAUAGCUGGAGACUUUUUGGAGUCAUUGGGUAAAGAACUAGGUUUGGAGGUUCCCACCGAUAUGCCUCUCCCAGAUAACAAAUCAAGUAAUCCAGCUAAAAAGGACAGUGUUCCCUUAGAUGUGAGAGCAAAGAGCAUUAACCAAGAUCCGAUAUUGGCAGUAGGAAAUAAUAAUCGGAACAUCUCUCAACAAGGUAUAUUUUCUAGAGAAGGAACUGUGGAUAUGAACUCUCGGAAAAAUGGUGGCAGAGGAACUGAAACUGAAAGCUACAGGAAUGGUAUUGAUAAGAAUAAGUUUGAAGCAGAAGGUAGAAUAGAUGCAAAAGCAAAAGGAGAUCAGUACCGAAAUAAGAACAGCAGUUCAUCAGAAGAUGAAACCGAUAGAAAGCGAAAGCGGCCUCACAGAGGCAGCAGUCUAGAUGCUUCUUCUGAUUCAUCUGAGGGUUACAAAGAUCGUCGUUCAAGGUCAAGGAAGAAAAAAUCAUCUCAGGAGAAGAGUAGUAGUAGUAAAAGGCACUCAAAGCACCAUAAGCAUAGAAGGAGAGACUCACGAAGUCCUAGUAGACAUUCCCGUCAUGGUUCAGAAAAAGACCGCAGAGAAGCCAAGAGAGAGAAGCGUAAAUACAAGGACUGAAACAUUUCUACUAUAUGACCUAUUUGAAAUGGAUCUAAGGAGUUACUUGAAACUACUGCUGAUUGAAUAUAUAUGAAUUCUCAGAUAAGUGGUUAGUUACUGCUGGAACAGUUCAUGCUCCUUGGGUUUACUACUAUGUGCCCUUUUGAGUGCUGUGCGUAGAGCUCUUUCUCUUUGGUCAAUCUAUGGGAGCAAGAGGCCAGAUUCUGAAGUUCUCACUAGGAUCAUCCUUUUGACUUGCAGGAUAUGAUAUUGGUUCGGUCUGUUUUCCAGCUUAUUCCACUGAUCAAGCUUUUGAUUGUAGUAGCAGUUGGAUAAUGGUAUGGCCGGUCUGAUUUUUGUUUCAUGCUUUACGUUAAAAUAUAUUUUAUGUCGAAGCAUUCCAGCUAAUGUCUUUCUGAGGUCUUGGGAAUUCGUUAUGUAUGUUUGUGGUGUGGUUCCCUAUUAGAAAUAAUACACGAUCUAAGGC
rnacentral:misc_RNA from 1 species